rnacentral:rRNA from 1 species
GACGAACGCUGGCGGCGUGCUUAACACAUGCAAGUCGAACGGUAAGGCCUUCGGGUACACGAGUGGCGAACGGGUGAGUAACACGUGGGUGAUCUGCCCUGCACUUUGGGAUAAGCCUGGGAAACUGGGUCUAAUACCGGAUAGGACCAAGGCCUGCAUGGGUUGUGGUGGACAGCUUUUGCGGUGUGGGAUGGGCCCGCGGCUUAUUAGCUUGUUGGUGGGGUGAUGGCCUACCAAGGUGACGCCGGGUAGCUGGCCUGAGAGGGUGUCCGGCCACACUGGGUCUGAGAUACGGCCCAGACUCCUACGGGAAGCAGCAGUGGGGAAUAUUGCACAAUGGGCGCAAGCCUGAUGCAGCGACGCAGCGUGGGGGAUGACAGCCUUCGGGUUGUAAACCUCUUUCAAUAGGGACGAAGCGUUAGUGACGGUACCUAUAGAAGCAGCACCGGCCAACUACGUGCCAGCAGCCGCGGUAA